UGACCCUAUCUCCUAUGCUUUACCCUAUUGGCAGGAUGCCAAAGCCCCCUCCCCUUUCCUGAACACAGAAAAGACCCCUGUGCUUGGGAAAAUUCCUCUUUGCCCCCUGGAAGCCAUGAAGAAAUAAACUAAGGAACCCCUGGGAGAAAAGAGCCUCUUUGUAUCUUUCACGCCUGUUCAUGCUACUCUAGUCCCGGGCUGAGCCUCGGAUAGAAUAGCAAUUGGUGGUCGUGGGGCUUUUCAUCAGAGAGCCCACACGAGUGACUGGGAGUCCUAUUACAAGGAAUCAGUAAGUCCAUGGACAGGUCAAUUACCUUGAAGGAAAAAAAACUGCUUUUACAGUAGUUUCAGCUUACAGGGAGGAAAUCGGGACCUCACCUAGCCCAGGGCGCUGAUUUCUGAACGGGGUCCUAAAUCUACAGCCGGUAUCCCCUGGAGAGGAUGUUGCCAGAAGGAAGCGCCUUGACAGCUGGCUCCCGGAAAGGAAAGCCACCAAGACACAGAGAGAAAAUGGACCUCUCCUUGGACUGAAACAGUAAAAGGGAAAAUACAAAUACAACUUGUGAGUGCACAACCCAUUUGACCACAGUCCCCUCACAAUUAUCUUCCCUGACAACACGGGAAGAAGAGAGCACACAGAAAUUAUCUCAGCCCCCAGCCAGUCAUUGUUACCAGCCCUCAUGAGAUUCUCUAGAGUUGAUGUCUCCAGACCAAGGAUAUUGGUCUCUGAAGAAUACUGUAAGAAAA